AUUCCCUGACGACUGCGAACACCUGAAUGAAGCUGAAGGCUUCAUUUGGUGACCCCGACGUGAUCGUUAGGGAAU
rfam:Avian myeloblastosis virus mRNA for v-myb oncogene (5'end)